rnacentral:rRNA from 1 species
UAAAGAAAGUAAGAAAGGGCGUAUGGCGGAUGCCUAGGCUCACGGAGGCGAUGAAGGACGUGAUAAGCUGCGAUAAGCUUCGGGUAGGUGCAAAUAACCCUUGAUCCGGAGAUUUCCGAAUGGGACAACCUAGCCGUCUGAAGGACGGUUACUAGCACUUAAGUGUUAGAGCUAACGCAGGGAACUGAAACAUCUUAGUACCUGCAGGAAGAGAAAAUAAAUGAAUGAUUCCCCCAGUAGUGGCGAGCGAACGGGGAACAGCCCAAACCAGUGGCGUCGCAAGGCGUGGCUGGGGUUGUAGGACCGCAACAUUGUAUGCAAAUCGUGAACAGAACACUUUGGAAAAUGUGACCAUAGACGGUGAUAGUCCAGUAUGUGAAGCGAAAUGCAGCAUAGCGGUAUCCUGAGUAACGCGGGACACGAGGAAUCCUGCGCGAAUCUGCCGGGACCAUCCGGUAAGGCUAAAUACUCCCGUGAGACCGAUAGCGAACGAGUACUGUGAAGGAAAGGUGAAAAGAACCCCGAGUAGGGGAGUGAAAUAGUUCCUGAAACCAUACGCCUACAAGCGGUCGGAGCAUCUUACGAUGUGACGGCGUGCCUUUUGCAUAAUGAUCCUACGAGUUACCGUCACUGGCGAGGUUGAGUGUCAUGAGACACGUAGCCGCAGUGAAAGCGAGCCUGAACAGGGCGCACAGUCAGUGGGGGUAGACGCGAAACCAAGUGAUCUACACUUGGCCAGGAUGAAGUCCCGGUAACACGGGAUGGAGGUCCGCACCAAUAAGCGUUGAAAAGCUUCUGGAUGAGCCGAGUGUAGGAGUGAAAGGCCAAUCAAACUUGGAGAUAGCUCGUACUCCCCGAAAGGCAUUUAGGUGCCGCGUCGGAUGGUCACCGUGAGAGGUAGAGCGACCGAUAGGACAAGAGGGCUUCACCGCCUAUCGAGUCCUGACGAACUCCGAAUGUUCACGGUUUGCAGUCCGGCAGUAAGGGGGCGGGUGCUAAGGUCCGUCCCCGAGAGGAGAAGAAUCCAGACCGCCGUCUAAGGUCCCGGAGUUCUGCCUGAGUUAGUCUAACGAAGUCUGGUCCCUAUGACAGCUAGGAUGUUGGCUUGGAAGCAGCCAUUCAUUCAAAGAGUGCGUAACAGCUCACUAGUCGAGGGUCCGGGCAUGGAUAAUAAUCGGGUAUAAGGCAGACACCGAAGGCGCGGGAUAGCAAUUAUAAAAGUAUCGGUAGGGGAGCAUACUCACAGCGUCGAAUGGUGUACGUAAGUUAUCCUGGAGCGGUGAGUAAAGCAAAUGUAGGAAUAAGUAACGAUAAGGAGGGUUAGAUUCCCUCCCGCUGUAAGACCAAGGUUUCCCGGGCAAUGCCAAUCAGCCCGGGGUCAGUCGGGUCCUAAGUCUAAGCCGAACGGCGAUGGCGAUGGCAGAGACGGUUAAUAUUCCGUCACUGCCGCAUGGGGCGAUGUGGAGACGGAGCAGUGAAACCACCGCGGGGCGACGGAAGUCCCCGUUGAAGAGUGUAGGUGUUGAGGAUGGCAGGCAAAUCCACCAUCCGAGCUGAACUUGACAGUACGGAGUCCUCCUCGGAGGAAUCUGAUAGUGUGGGUAAACAUACUCCCGAGAAAAUCCGCUAAGCUUAACCCAUGCGGCACCCGUACCGCAAACGGACACACGUGGUCGGGUAGAACAUACUAAGGCGUUGAGAGAUUCAUGGUUAAGGAACUAGGCAAAUUGACCCUGUAACUUCGGGAUAAAGGGUCCUCGUGAUGAGCGAGGCGCAGAGAAUAGGUCCAGGCAACUGUUUAACAAAAACACAGGGCUGUGCAAACUCGAAAGAUGACGUAUACAGCCUGACACCUGCCCGGUGCCGGAAGGUUAAGAGGAGAUGUCACUAGCAAUAGGAAGCAUUGAAUUGAAGCCCCGGUAAACGGCGGCCGUAACUAUAACGGUCCUAAGGUAGCGAAAUUCCUUGUCGGGUAAGUUCCGACCUGCACGAAUGGUGUAAUGAUCCGGACGCUGUCUCAACCAUGAGCUCAGUGAAAUUGUAGUAUCGGUGAAGAUGCCGAUUACCCGCGAUGGGACGAAAAGACCCGUGAACCUUUACUACAGCUUAGCAUUGACCUUGGUCAUCCGAUGUGUAGGAUAGGCCGGAGGCUUCGAAGCGGGAGCGCCAGCUUUCGUGGAGCCAUCCUUGAAAUACGGCCCUUUGGCUGUCUGAGGUCUAACGCGCGAUGCGCGGACACUGCUGGUGGGUAGUUUGACUGGGGUGGUCGCCUCCAAAAGCGUAACGGAGGCUUCCAAAGGUGCCCUCGGGUCGAUUGGUAACCGACCUCAAAGAGUGCAAUGGCAUAAGGGCGCUUGACUGGGAGGCAGACAUGCCGAGCAGGCAGGAAACUGGGGCAUAGUGAUCCGGCGGAUGUGUAUGGAAACUCCGUCGCUCAAAGGAUAAAAGGUACUGCGGGGAUAACAGGCUGAUCCCCCCCAAGAGCUCAUAUCGACGGGGUGGUUUGGCACCUCGAUGUCGGCUCGUCACAUCCUGGGGCUGGAGAAGGUCCCAAGGGUUGGGCUGUUCGCCCAUUAAAGUGGCACGCGAGCUGGGUUCAGAACGUCGUGAGACAGUUCGGUCUCUAUCUAUCGUGGGCGUGGGAGUUUUGAGUGGUGCCGUCACUAGUACGAGAGGACCGUGAUGGACAGACCUCCGGUUUACCAGUUGUGCCGCCAGGCGCACCGCUGGGUAUCUGAGUCUGGAUUGGAUAAGCGCUGAAAGCAUCUAAGUGCGAAGCCAGCCGCAAGAUGAGAACUCCAUUGAGGGUCGUCAGAGACGAUGACGUUGAUAGGAUGCAGGUGUAAAGACAGCGAUGUCAAAGCCGAGCAUUACUAAUUGCCCGAACACUUUCUUUA